UGGACAUGGCCAUUGCCAAGUAGUCUCAGGCUUUCCAGCUAGGAAGACAAGUCAACUUCAACUCCUGGGCCAAGGCUGAUCAAUUGGAAAUGGCUGCCCGGAGUGCCAUACCUGAAAUUCUCACAGGAGAAGAUUGCUAUCUAUGAUUGUUUGGUGAUGUCUGCCGUGGCUAGAGGGGCAGCAUGGCUCUGGUGCCUUUGCUAAGAGUCAGCUUGCGCUCUGCUCCAUAGCAGGAAGAAGACUUAAGAGUUUCCGUUUCUCCCCUUUCCAGCCAAGGGCAUUUAGGUCUGGUCCACCAAAAACAGAACAGACACCCUCUGAACCCCUGUGCUCCUUCCAGAGAGGGAAGUUUCACCCUCCAUGGUCACGUCAGCAGGCCAAGAAGCUGGGUGCUCUCUGCCACCUCCUAAAUGGAUCCACAAUCUCCAAGAAACUCUAGGGAGUGAUUCACACUGAAAGAUGUCUGCACCACACUGUUUGGUAGACAUAGUUCAUAUGCUCCAUCUCCUGUGAUUCUCUGAUGGCUUCUUGUACAGCUGGAUGGGGGCGGGGCACUAAGAGUACAGGCGCAGCUUUAAUUGGA